UUCCUUGUAGUGUUCCGUUUGUGGUUGAAAUUGGACCGGUCUGUUUGUUCACGAUUUCGCAACGGAAUAUGGUAGUACUAUCUAAGACCCUUACGAUCAUAUUGUUGCCAACUUUGUUUCGCUGCCAUACUGUACUAUAUUAUUGGAAUGAAUGGAGACUUAACUCAAAGCGUGUGUAGGCCCGCUCUGCGUUCCCACAGGGAUGCCCGAUAAAUAAAGAUUUUUCACAUUGUCCAUUCGUGAACUGCAAUCGUACGAUUGCUAUAAACUUGUCUAAAUAGAAACGUUUCUCGGGUCAACUUCACGCUAGAUAACUGCAUUCUUCGCCUAGAAGUGCAUGGCAACCAAACAAAAAGUUGCCAUAGUGUUGAAAUUAUCGACAAGCUUCUUAAGAAUGUCCAUGAUCGAGCAUCUUGGGAAAACCAAAAGGUACUAGAGACGUGCAAAAUUCUCUGACAAAUCUGACAAAACUGCCAUUGACCUGCUAUCCGGUUGGUAUUGUCGCCUCUGUUCCCUAAGUAAACGGUGCAAACGGCGAUAUCAAGAAUUGACUGAGUCAGGAGAACCCUGUCGGCUAAAACGUGGUCCAGGAAAGCCUGCUAAUAAAGAUCCCCGCACACCUCUCCUGAACCUGAUGAAGGGAUACUUCAUACUAACAAGAUGUCAAGCAUUGCCGCCUUCAGUGUUCAGGACCCGAUCGACGAUAUAUAAAGUGAAGAGUUACAAGUUCUACAAGACUUAUCUGUUCACCGGUUUAUCAACUCAUGAUUUGGAAAAACUUAAUUCAUGAACUCGAGACUCUAAGUUACUGAGUUAUAUUAUUAUUUCGUGUAUUGCCGGGAAGGCUGUUAAUUUAGGAUAGAGUUUUUGUGGCACUUAUCUCAGUUUGUUCUUUUGUAGUUGUUCUCACACAGCUGAGUAAAAGUUUUAAAACUUGAGAGCAGUGUUUAUAAUUCAAUUUAUUAUUAAUUAGAAUUAAUUGGAGCAUGGAACAACUACACCCUUUGAAGCCUGGAAAAUACGGUAGAUCUAGUUAAGACUCAACAGUCAAUACAUGCUAUGUGGGGGAGAAGAUGGACGAACUUUUUCAAAAAUUAAAAAAGAGAUGACUGCCGGUAUUGAACCGUGCACCUUACCCAUCGGGUAUUCUUAAAUUAGUCACUUGUGCUUAUCUAGCUUUUGAGUUUCAAGAUCUUGUUUGGUAUUUAUAAUAAUAAUAUGUCAUGACUAAAAGUGCGAGAUCUCUUUUAAAGAUUCCAUCUGUGUUUGAUGUUUACAACUGUCCAAUGUUUUUAAGGUAUUAAAAACGAAGCCGCGAAUUAGUAUCAACAUUGCCAAGUUUAAAUUUGCAAAGCUAGUCUUAACUGUCGUUGUUAGUUAAAUUUUAAGAUAUUUGGUUAGUUAAAUUUUGAUGUUAUACUUACUCCUUACUGUCACCAAGAUGCAGUUAGACCUAACCAGAAAGGCCUAAAGUAGGAGUUAGGCUUAACUGCAUCUUGGUGUAACAUUUGUUAUCUGUCAUCUGUAAAGUUGUAAUACUAAUAUUGUACUAUCUUGAUGUUUCCUCCUAAUUGUGGCUUACAUACGGAAUGGCAUACGUUUCUGACCACGAAUCACACUUGACAAUACUUCUUUAGUGCCAAUAAUUGUACGUGUUUGAAGUCUUGAUUUCAUUUCAUUAGGACCUCUAGUGUUGAUCGGAUGACUGAA